GUGCAGCCAAGUAUCCCGCCGUGUUCUCUGACCUGUGAGACAUGGAAUGAAAUGGCUGCAAAGAGCAAACAGACUCCAUGGUGCCUCUGAAGUCUCUGACUUGUACAGAUUCUUCAAAAUAACUUGGAGACAAUU
ensembl:snoRNA SNORA70 Small nucleolar RNA SNORA70